CAGUAGCCGCGGUAAUACGGAGGGGGCUAGCGUUAUUCGGAAUUACUGGGCGUAAAGCGCACGUAGGCGGAUCAGAAAGUCAGAGGUGAAAUCCCAGGGCUCAACCUUGGAACUGCCUUUGAAACUCCUGAUCUUGAGGUCGAGAGAGGUGAGUGGAAUUCCGAGUGUAGAGGUGAAAUUCGUAGAUAUUCGGAGGAACACCAGUGGCGAAGGCGGCUCACUGGCUCGAUACUGACGCUGAGGUGCGAAAGCGUGGGGAGCAAACAGGAUUAGAUACCCCCGUAGUCCCUGUCUCUUAUAU
rnacentral:rRNA from 1 species